GUUCGCGCCAAGCUGCGCUGGGGAGAGGUGUGUGUGGGAAAGCCAGAGCCCAAGAACUGGAGUGCUGAUGCAUUUUUGUUUUAAACAGAGAAUUUUGGUUGGUUUUACCACAGUCCUCAGUUCGCGCCAAGCUGCGCUGGGGAGAGGUGUGUGUGGGAAAGCCAGAGCCCAAGAACUGGAGUGCUGAUGCAUUUUUGUUUUAAACAGAAUAAGCCUGCCCUACUGCUGCAAUACACCCUGGUGUCCUCGUCUGCUGGUUCCCUUUGCCUAUACACACAACGCAGAGUACAUGUACAACAGAUGAGUCGGAUAAG